UGCCGGCUGUUCCAAAAGCCGGGGUCACUGAAGAGGCACACCAUCAUUGCCGGACGUGCGGACGGGCAUGAUCCCGUUCCAAUCCAUGGCAUCACCACGCUCCGCCCGAGGCGAAGGGUGCGCUUAUCCGCACCUCGCGUCUGACGACGGAGCAUCAG
rfam:Lutibaculum baratangense AMV1 contig00027, whole genome shotgun sequence.